rnacentral:lncRNA from 1 species
CUGAGACCAAACAGCAGCAAAUGAGCUGUGGUCAGCAGUGUUACAGCACCAGCCUGGUCCAGCCAGGCUUCAGGCCACUGCUCAGAGCCAGCCACUGCUGAAAAACAAGGAGAGGGGGCAGUCAAAGCAGAAUGAGGAACACAGAAGGCCACAGAGAGACGGGGCGCUGGGCAGGGCUUAUCGCACCCCUCAGCCCAGGGAACCUCUGGUGCUCCCUAUUGGGUUCCACAUUUCCAGGGAUCCCCAGAGUAGCACAGUUAGAGGUUCAACACAAGCCUACAAGGAGCAGAGGUGCAGGCACUUCAUGCAGCAUCCCUUUGGAAGUUAUUCAGCUCCUGAGAUGGGAAAAAGCAGUUUUACUUCAACACUCAUACAAACAUCAAAGUACAGCCUUGCAGCUCUUGAUCCUUAAUAGAUUGACCAGAGUUUACAAAACUUUUGAUGAGAAUACACCAAACCAGAAUAUAUUUGCAUGGAUGAGUCAAAAUCAUAAGGUACUCAGUGCAAUGUGGGGCUUGACUGCACACUCCUGAGAUGUUAUUCAUCUUGAUUUCACUCUUCCAGUUAAAAUCUUGGACAACUCUCUCUGAUUCUCUUU